rnacentral:rRNA from 1 species
CCUACGGGAUGCAGCAGUAGGGCAUAUUGCUCAAUGUGGGAAACCCUGAUGCAGCAACGCCGCGUGGAGGAUGAAGGUUUUCGGAUUGUAAACUCCUUUUGUUAGCGAAGAUAGUGACGGUAUCUAACGAAUCAGCACCUGCUAACUCCGUGCCAGCAGCCGCGGUAAUACGGAGGUUGCAAGCUUUACUCGGAAUCACUGGGCGUAAAGAUCGCGUAGGCGGGAUGGCAAGUCAGAUGUGAAAUCCUAUGGCUUAACCAUAGAACUGCAUUUGAAACUGGUAUUCUAGAGUAUUGUAGAGGUAGGUAGAAUUCCUGGUGUAGGGGUAAAAUGCGUAGAGAUCAAGAGGAAUACUCAUGGCGAAGGCGACCUGCUAGAACAUAACUGACGCUGAGGUGCGAAAGCGUGGGGAGCAAACAGGAUUAGAUACCCGAGUAGUC